CCCCUCAGCAUGAUGUAUCAGUGUCUUCCAGGUUUUGAGAGCGUUCUUCAUCACGUCAUGCAAAGCAACAACAUGGUGUUCGCUAACGAUGAAAAUUUAAAGACCUUGACCACUCGUGUCCUUUUCCUACACGCUGAGGAUGACAAUGUGGUUCCUUUUGACAUGGCCAGAAGCUGUACCAGAUUGCACUUCAAGCCCUAGACAACGGUAUGCAGAGGACCAGGUGCGCAUGGUAUCCUACAGUGAAUCCUUGGGAUACUCACACAACUAUAUCUAUUUGGAUCCUAACCUGGCCAGUGUGAUUGGGCGGUUUCUACAAAGCAAGAAGAACAUUGAUAGACCGAUAGUCCGGUGAGUCGGCGACAUUUUAGGAGAAGAGCUGCCCACUGUAAAAAAAAMAAAAACAGAACGGAACAUUUACACAUACAGCAUUGCCUGUUCAUGGUCUUUGUGAGAUCYUUGUUCCUCACUCAAAACUUUCAACAAGGGCCGUGUCCAUGUGUCAGUUUGUGUAUUGCACUAGUCUCUCAUAGUUGUCAGUGACUGUAUGAAUUACAAUUAAAAAGCUUGAACAACA